GAUGAACGCUGGCGGCGCGCCUAACACAUGCAAGUCGAACGAUUAAAGCACCUUCGGGUGUGUAUAAAGUGGCGAACGGCUGAGUAACACGUGGGCAACCUGCCCCUUUCAUUGGGAUAGCCACGGGAAACCUUGGAUAAUACCGAAUACUUCGAAACUUCCGCCUGGAAGACCCGAGAAAUCUGCGGCGGGGAGGGAUGGGCCCGCGGCCUGUUAGCUCGUUGGUGGGGGAACGGCCUACCACGGCAAAGAUGGGUAGCUGUCUUGAGAGGGCGACCGGCCAGAGUGGGACUGAGACACGGCACAGACUACUACGGGAGGCAGCAGUGGGGAAGCUUGCACGAUGGGGGAAAGCCUGAUGCAGCGACGCCGCGUGCGGGAUGAAGGCCUUCGGGUUGUAAACCGCUUUCAGCAGGGACGAGGCGAAAGUGAAGGUACCUGAAGAAGAAGCCCCGGCUAACUACGUG
rnacentral:rRNA from 1 species